UGGGGAAUAUUGGGCAAUGGGCGCAAGCCUGACCCAGCAACGCCGCGUGAGUGAUGAAGGUCUUCGGAUUGUAAAACUCUUUAAGCAGGGAAGAAGAAAGUGACGGUACCUGCAGAAUAAGCAUCGGCUAACUACGUGCCAGCAGCCGCGGUAAUACGUAGGAUGCAAGCGUUAUCCGGAAUGACUGGGCGUAAAGGGUGCGUAGGUGGUUUGGCAAGUUGGUAGCGUAAUUCCGGGGCUUAACUCCGGAACUACUACCAAAACUGUUGAACUUGAGUGCAGGAGGGGCAUGUGGAAUUCCUAGUGUAGCGGUGGAAUGCGUAGAUAUUAGGAGGAACACCAGUGGCGAAGGCGACAUGCUGGACUGUAACUGACACUGAGGCACGAAAGCGUGGGGAGCAAACA
rnacentral:rRNA from 1 species